rnacentral:rRNA from 1 species
CCCCGGGCUUAACCUGGAGUGGCAUUUGAGACUGGCAGGCUAGAGUCUUGUAGAGGGGGGUAGAAUUCCAGGUGUAGCGGUGAAAUGCGUAGAGAUCUGGAGGAAUAUCGGUGGCGAAGGCGGCCCCCUGGACAAAGACUGACGCUCAGAUGCGAAAGCGUGGGUAGCAAACAGGAUUAGAUACCCUGGUAGUCCACGCCGUAAACGAUGUCUACUUGAAGGUUGGGAUCUUGAAUUCUGGCCUUCGGAGCUAACGCGUUAAGUAGACCGCCUGGGAGUACGGUCGCAAGAUUAAAACUCAAAUGAAUUGACGGGGGCCCGCACAAGCGGUGGAGCAUGUGGUUUAAUUCGAUGCAACGCGAAGAACCUUACCUACUCUUGACAUCCAGAGAAGCCAGCAGAGAUGCAGGUGUGCCUUCGGGAACUNUGAGACAGGUGCUGCAUGGCUGUCGUCAGCUCGUGUUGUGAAAUGUUGGGUUAAGUCCCGCAACGAGCGCAACCCUUAUCCUUGUUUGCCAGCACGUAAUGGUGGGAACUCCAGGGAGACUGCCGGUGAUAAACCGGAGGAAGGUGGGGACGACGUCAAGUCAUCAUGGCCCUCACGAGUAGGGCUACACACGUGCUACAAUGGUGCAUACAGAGGGAAGCAAGAGCGCGAGCUGGAGCGGAUCNCAAAAAGUGCAUCGUAGUCCGGAUUGGAGUCUGCAACUCGACUCCAUGAAGUCGGAAUCGCUAGUAAUCGUGGAUCAGAAUGCCACGGUGAAUACGUUCCCGGGCCUUGUACACACCGCCCGUCAUC